GAUAAGGUGGCUGAGUGGUUAAGGUGAUGGACUGCUAAUCCAUUGUCCUCUGCACACAUGGGUUCAAAUCUCAUUCUCAUCG